GAUGAACGCUGGCGGCGUGCCUAAUACAUGCAAGUCGAGCGAACGGACGAGAAGCUUGCUUCUCUGAUGUUAGCGGCGGACGGGUGAGUAACACGUGGAUAACCUACCUAUAAGACUGGGAUAACUUCGGGAAACCGGAGCUAAUACCGGAUAAUAUUUUGAACCGCAUGGUUCAAAAGUGAAAGACGGUCUUGCUGUCACUUAUAGAUGGAUCCGCGCUGCAUUAGCUAGUUGGUAAGGUAACGGCUUACCAAGGCAACGAUGCAUAGCCGACCUGAGAGGGUGAGCGGCCACACUGGAACUGAGACACGGUCCAGACUCCUACGGGAGGCAGCAGUAGGGAAUCUUCCGCAAUGGGCGAAAGCCUGACCGAGCAACGCCGCGUGAGUGAUGAAGGUCUUCGGAUCGUAAAACUCUGUUAUUAGGGAAGAACAUAUGUGUAAGUAACUGUGCACAUCUUGACGGUACCUAAUCAGAAAGCCACGGCUAACUACGUGC
rnacentral:rRNA from 1 species